CAGCCAGGGCCGGGGUGUACGACCUUCUCAACCAGCUGGGUUUCUCCGAGUUUGAGAACCUUCGGGACACGCCACUUGCCAGGCUCCGCUGCCGGUGGCAACGACAGAACAUCCAAUCACGUCCCUUCAGGGGGGCGUUGAUCUGAGCUGAGGAGAGAUCACUGUGAACCGCCAGACUAUGGCUGCUUCUGAAGUGCUACUCUAUUCCCUGUUCAGUUCACUACUUUUGACCAGGGCCCUCUGCACUCUAAAGGGACUAGGGUGCCAUUUUAUACAACCUAUGUCCUCCUGUGCUUUUUUUAUUUUUAUUUUUAUAUAUAUACCUUUAAAAUGCUAAAAUGCUUUUGUAUUUUGAAAUGUAAUAAUGCUUUGUAUUUUUACCCUCGUAUCACUCUGAUACUCUAUUAUUAUAAUACUGCCUGUUUUCAAACCCACUACCAAUGUUAUUUAGUAUUUGACUGGACGUUUCAGUUCUGUCAGUCGGUAUUUCCUGGUUCUGAUGCUUCUGACUGCUUCUGACUGCCGCACAGAUUCAAGCUGACAUUUUACGUCUCAUUUGCUCUAUUGUUCCAUUGUUAAUAUAGGAGGAGAAUGAAUUAUUAUGUUGUUAAGGUUAGUUUGAGGUUAUGUUAAGGUUAGUUUGAGGUUAAGGUUAGUUUGAGGUUAUGUUAAGGUUCGUUUGAGGUUAUGUUAAGGUUCGUUUGAGGUUAAGGUUAGUUUGAGGUUAUCUUACGGUUAGUUUGAGGUUAUCUUACGGUUAGUUUGAGGUUACGGUAAGGGUUAGAGUUAGGGAAAGGCUUCACCUUUUGGGCUAGCGGAACUCCACCUCCGUGAAUAUUCUGCCGGUUAAAUAGACACCACCUUAAUCAGAAGACAGUAUUAGUAUUAGUCUGUAUUAGAACGUAUUGGAAAGUUUCUCCAGUUUUAAAAUAGAGUUGAAACUACAGACUUUUAAAACAAACAGCUUCUUUGUUUAGAUGGAAUACAUUUCUGUUACUUUAAUCAACAUCCAGUAUCAGAGUCUCCAAGUCCACUUCCAGGUAUUCGUUUGCCAAGCUGCUGUAGAUGCUGCCAAGGCGAAGCUUCUGCUCUGUGUUUUACUGCUGUUUGUAUGUGUCUCAGUCCUCACUUCUUCACAGCGGUUUCUCCUCUCAUUAAAGGGUUCAUCUGCG